AUAUAUAGCUUCUUUGGUUACUUAUAAUGUAAAAUAAUGAAAAAAAUUUCUCGAACUCAAAUUUUGUGAACCAGGGGGGUGUGUCUUUUCCAACAAACUAAAAAUGGCUCGCGCACAAAAUUUAAAAGCUGCAAUCAUAUUUUGAGUCAACAGAUGGAAAAUUUGUCGGGAUUUUAAUUACUGUACAAAAUUUCAGACAAUUUGGUUUAGUUUAAGCCCC